rnacentral:rRNA from 1 species
CCUACGGGAGGGCUGCAGUGAGGAAUAUUGGUCAAUGGACGAGAGUCUGAACCAGCCAAGUAGCGUGAAGGAUGACUGCCCUAUGGGUUGUAAACUCCUUUUAUAUGGGAAUAAAAUGUUCCACGUGUGGGAUUUUGUAUGUACCAUAUGAAUAAGGAUCGGCUAAUUCUGUCCCAGCAGCCGCGGUAAUACGGAGGAUCCGACCGUUAUCCGGAUUUAUUGGGUUUAAAGGGAGCGUAGGUGGAUUGUUAAGUCAGUUGUGAAAGUUUUUGGCUCAACCAUAACAUUGCAGUUGAAACUGGCAGUCUUGAGUACAGUAGAGGUGGGCGGAAUUCGUGGUGUAGCGGUGAAAUGCUUAGAUAUCACGAAGAACUCCGAUUGCGAAGGCAGCUCACUGGAGUGCAACUGACGCUGAGGCUCGAAAGUGUGGGUAUCGAACAGGAUUAGAUACCCGGGUAGUC